rnacentral:rRNA from 1 species
GAAAACUGAGGUGGUAUACGAUGGUUCCGCGUCUGAUUAGCUAGUUGGUGGGGUAAAAGCCUACCAAGGCAACGAUCAGUAGCCGGCCUGAGAGGGUGAACGGCCACAUUGGGACUGAGACACGGCCCAAACUCCUACGGGAGGCAGCAGUGGGGAAUAUUGCACAAUGGGGGAAACCCUGAUGCAGCGACGCCGCGUGAGUGAAGAAGUAUUUCGGUAUGUAAAGCUCUAUCAGCAGGGAAGAAAUACUGACCAUAGGGUCAGCAGACGGUACUUGACUAAGAAGCCCCGGCUAACUACGUGCCAGCAGCCGCGGUAAUACGUAGGGGGCAAGCGUUAUCCGGAUUUACUGGGUGUAAAGGGAGCGUAGACGGCAGCGCAAGUCUGAAGUGAAAUGCCAGGGCUUGACCCUGGAACUGCUUUGGAAACUGUGCAGCUAGAGUGCAGGAGAGGUAAGUGGAAUUUCUAGUGUAGCGGUGAAAUGCGUAGAUAUUAGGAGGAACACCAGUGGCGAAGGCGGCUUACUGGACUGUAACUGACGUUGAGGCUCGAAAGCGUGGGGAGCAAACAGGAUUAGAUACCCUGGUAGUCCACGCUGUAAACGAUGAUUACUAGGUGUUGGGGGACCAAGGUUCUUCG